rnacentral:rRNA from 1 species
CCCCAGACUCCUACGGGAGGCAGCAGUGGGGGAUAUUGCACAAUGGGGGGAACCCUGAUGCAGCGACGCCGCGUGGGUGAAGGAGCGUUUCGGCGCGUAAAGCCCUAUCGGCAGGGAAGAAGAUGACGGUACCUGACCAAGAAGCCCCGGCUAACUACGUGCCAGCAGCCGCGGUAAUACGUAUGGAGCAAGCGUUAUCCGGAUUUACUGGGUGUAAAGGGAGCGCAGACGGCAGGGCAAGUCUGAUGUGAAAGUCCGGGGCUCAACCCCGGGACUGCAUUGGAAACUGUCCGGCUAGAGUGCAGGAGAGGUAAGUGGAAUUCCUAGUGUAGCGGUGAAAUGCGUAGAUAUUAGGAGGAACACCAGUGGCGAAGGCGGCUUACUGGACUGUAACUGACGUUGAGGCUCGAAAGCGUGGGGAGCAAACAGGAUUAGAUACCCGCGUAAG